rnacentral:rRNA from 1 species
GUGACUGCGUACCUUUUGUAUAAUGGGUCAGCGACUUAUAUUCUGUAGCAAGGUUAACCGAAUAGGGGAGCCGGAGGGAAACCGAGUCUUAAUUGGGCGUUAAGUUGCAGGGUAUAGACCCGAAACCCGGUGAUCUAGCCAUGGGCAGGUUGAAGGUUGGGUAACACUAACUGGAGGACCGAACCGACUAAUGUUGAAAAAUUAGCGGAUGACCUGUGGCUGGGGGUGAAAGGCCAAUCAAACCGGGAGAUAGCUGGUUCUCCCCGAAAGCUAUUUAGGUAGCGCCUCGUGAAUUCAUCUCCGGGGGUAGAGCACUGUUUCGGCUAGGGGGCCAUCCCGGCUUACCAACCCGAUGCAAACUGCGAAUACCGGAGAAUGUUAUCACGGGAGACACACGGCGGGUGCUAACGUCCGUCGUGAAGAGGGAAACAACCCAGACCGCCAGCUAAGGUCCCAAAGUCAUGGUUAAGUGGGAAACGAUGUGGGAAGGCCCAGACAGCCAGGAUGUUGGCUUAGAAGCAGCCAUCAUUUAAAGAAAGCGUAAUAGCUCACUGGUCGAGUCGGCCUGCGCGGAAGAUGUAACGGGGCUAAACCAUGCACCGAAGCUGCGGCAGCGACACUCAGGUGUUGUUGGGUAGGGGAGCGUUCUGUAAGCCUGUGAAGGUGUGUCGUGAGGCAUGCUGGAGGUAUCAGAAGUGCGAAUGCUGACAUAAGUAACGAUAAAGCGGGUGAAAAGCCCGCUCGCCGGAAGACCAAGGGUUCCUGUCCAACGUUAAUCGGGGCAGGGUGAGUCGACCCCUAAGGCGAGGCCGAAAGGCGUAGUCGAUGGGAAACGGGUUAAUAUUCCCGUACUUGGUGUUACUGCGAAGGGGGGACGGAGAAGGCUAUGUUGGCCGGGCGACGGUUGUCCCGGUUUAAGCGUGUAGGUGUGUGUUCCAGGUAAAUCCGGUUCACUUUAACACUGAGGCGUGAUGACGAGGCACUACGGUGCUGAAGCAACAAAUGCCCUGCUUCCAGGAAAAGCCUCUAAGCAUCAGGUAACAUCAAAUCGUACCCCAAACCGACACAGGUGGUCAGGUAGAGAAUACCAAGGCGCUUGAGAGAACUCGGGUGAAGGAACUAGGCAAAAUGGUGCCGUAACUUCGGGAGAAGGCACGCUGACA